CCGUCCGCGUGGUAUUCAGUUUUUCAAAAUCCCGCGGGAACCAUGGAUUUUUCCGGGAUGAAAAGUGUUAGCCUAUGUGUUAAGCCAGAGCCAGAUCGCUUCAGUAGUAGCGACGUUAAAGUAGUACUGAAGGGAUUUGGCUGAAAUUUCGAAUGGAAAUUAAUUUCACUCUGGAUUAACACAUAGGCUACUUUUCAUCCCGGAUAAAACCACGGUUCCCGCGGGAUUUUGAAAAACUGAAUUCCACGCGGACGGAGUCGCGGGCGUCCGCUAGUACUUGUAUAAACUAUACCUUAUCUAUUUUUAAUUUCUUACGUGAUUAUUAUGAUGAUGAUGUUGAUCAGGAAUUGAUUGCUUUUAUUAGACGUUUAAAGUCAAUUUAGGGCAAAGUAAUUAGAAAUAGAUAAGGUUUACAUCAUACUCGUAUAUAAACGUAAAUAAACGCUCCUCUAAAAGGAAGCCGGUGCGUCUCAAACUGUCACAAUGAAACUUUUAUUCUACGUUGCCGUAAUCGCUUGUCUAUGCGCGAUGUUCGCGCACGCUGUGCCUUUUGUGAAUGCCUAUUAUAUACAAAAUAUACGAGGACGAAAAGUCGACAUUCCAUCAAAUGGAAUCCGACAAAGGUUCUAUUGGGCUAUUGAAUAAGAGGGUAUAUGUUUACGGUUAUUUUCAUGUCAAUCUAUCUUGGUUGGUCUAUUCACUAUUUUAGUAUUUAUUAACAACGUAUUAAAGUAAAUAUCAAAACAAUUGAGAAAUAUCAUCUACCUGCUGAUUGAUAUUUACCAGUAGUCACCUGAUGGCAUUUGUUACAUAUAAUCUAAAUACCAAAGAUAGUGAAUAGUCAUCCUGGUUUUACUUUUUUUAAUAAACAGUCCAACAUCAAUUCAAUGGUCUAAUUGUUUGUACUAGGUAACACAUCCACCAAUAACCGUUACAUAAUAUUGUAAUAUAUUGCCAGUAGAUUUUCCCAAUAAUUGUUUUUUGUUUUAUUAAAUCGAUUCUUUAAUUUUGAUAUUAAAAAACUAAUGUUUAUACUAUUAUUUCACUGAU